rnacentral:rRNA from 1 species
GAUGAACGCUGGCGGCGUGCCUAAUACAUGCAAGUCGAGCGAACGGACGAGAAGCUUGCUCCUCUGAUGUUAGCGGCGGACGGGUGAGUAACACGUGGAUAACCUACCUAUAAGACUGGGAUAACUUCGGGAAACCGGAGCUAAUACCGGAUAAUAUUUUGAACCGCAUGGUUCAAAAGUGAAAGACGGUCUUGCUGUCACUUAUAGAUGGAUCCGCGUUGCCUUAGCUAGUUGGUAAGGGAACGGCUUACCAAGGCAACGAUGCGUAGCCGACCUGAGAGGGUGAUCGGCCACACUGGAACUGAGACACGGUCCAGACUCCUACGGGAGGCAGCAGUAGGGAAUCUUCCGCAAUGGGCGAAAGCCUGACGGAGCAACGCCGCGUGAGUGAUGAAGGUCUUCGGAUCGUAAAACUCUGUUAUUAGGGAAGAACAUAUGUGUAAGUAACUGUGCACGUCUUGACGGUACCUAAUCAGAAAGCCACGGCUAACUACGUG